CCAAGUACUCCCACUUCUCUCUAAAUUCUCUCUCUACCCAACCUCCAUUAAAGAAACAUUAAAGCUUCAAGAAGAAGACUAAAUAUCCAAGUUUCCUACUCAAUUCGUGGAUAAAUUCUUUAUCAAGGUAUGUAUUCUUUCAUUCUUGGUAUUCCUUUCCUCAAGAGAUCUAUUCAAAGAUGAUUUCACAUCCCCUAAAGAUCUAGGUUUUCUUUACAAGUGAUUCUUCUUUGAAAAAUGAAUUUAUGAAUUAAUUAUGACUAAUUAUGAAUAUUUAGGAUUAUUUAAGUGUGUAAUGAUGGUUAAUUGUUAUUAUUCACUUAAUAUCCCCUUAGACCCAUGUUCUUCCCCAAUUUUAUAAAUCAUGGAUUGAAAGUGAUGAAUUGAUCGAUGAUUAUGCAUAUCGAAAUUGUUAUAUUGAUGUUAACUGUGUUAUUAUUACAUGAAUUACCUUAUAUGAUGUCAUGAUUGGGUUUAUGAUCUAAUUCUUUAAGAACUCAUGAAUGUCCCUCUUCUUCUAACUCUAACUCUUGAAUUAUGUUAAUUUAUGACUAGAGGUGAUGUAAUUGAGUAUGUUAUUGUAUAAUUGACUAUCUUAUGAUGAUGAUAAUUGAUUCUAUGGGUACAUAUUAUUGAUUUUGGAUUAAGUCUUAAAUGGGAUUCAUGGAGGCCAUUGGUAAGAUCUUAAAGUCUUGUCUAUGUUGUUGUAGAAUUGUUGGCCUAGUUUUGGUAAUGUUGGUUAAUUGAAGUAUAAUGAACUUAUGAAUGUGUGAUCAUGCUAUGAAUAUGACGGUUCUGAGAUGAUGAUAAGUGUAGUAUUAUGCGGGAUUGAAGAUAAUUCCUAUAUGCAUCUUGUUACUAAGCUAUGAUGUAAUGUUCUCACAUGAUGUUGAGUUUGUGAUGAAAGAACUUUCUCAUACUAGAACCUUGAGCUAUGAACAUGUUAUAUGAGGGGUUAAACUUCUAAUACCUAAGCUAUGAAUUAAUGUUAAGAAAGACUUAAAAAUACUUCAAGAAGGUAAUUUAGCUUAGCACCGAGUGAACUUGACAUUGAGAGGUGUUCCUUCACAAAGGACAUGAGGUGGAAACUGUAAUGCUAAUUAGCAUAAAAAAGGGUUUCUAGUAACAACCUCCUAGUUCCUUAACUAUGUUCCCCCAUAGAAAACCUAGCUAGUAGAUCCACCUAGAUGCUAUUAUGAUGUAUAUUCCCUACCUUGACAAGUAGGACACCCUUCUUUCGGUGUGAAAAAUUGACACCGGAUUCCAUGUUUAGCUCACACGGUCUAAUGUCGGUUAUGGUGAAGUUUCUCGAAAGUAAAAUAAAUGAAUGAAAGUAAUAAUAUGAACACUAACUAGGUUUACUUAAGAGGUGUUACUUAGUGUAGGCAAUGAUAUGGGACUUUACUUAUACAUUGCACAAGUAGACCUUGAGGGGAAUUCUAGGGUGGAAUCUUUAUGUAUGAAUAAUAUAUAUGAUGUUGGUUUCACUUGCUAUACAUGAUGUUCAUCUAAAUUGUUAUGUAUGAUGUUGACUACACUUGUUAUGAUAAGGUAUGAGGUAAAGACAAUGCUUAUGGUCUCUUUGCUAGUUUACUUGAUUUAUGUGGAGUUAUGAGCUUUAAAUACUCAUUGCACUAGUAGACUUGGAUUGGGGUCAUGAGUAAGGUCUUGUGAUGUAAUGAUGAAAUGGACUCAAAUUAUGAAAUGUUGAUUAUGUAUUUAUUAUGAUGUUUCUCUUGAACAUGAAUAUGAAUAUGUCUUAUGGUUGUCUUGAUAUGGACUUGCAUAUGUUCUUGGAAUGUGCACAAAGAUUUUAAAGUGAACUUAGCAUGUUUAUUCCCAAAUGUCUCUUCAUUCAUGGUUUUAAUGUGUUACUUGCAUAUAUCCAUACUUAGUAUAUGUGGUUUGUACUAACCUAUCCCUUUUAUUUUCUACACAAAAUGUGGGUUCGGGCAAUUGAAGAGUUUCUAGUCCUUUCCUGAAGAACUUGGAUUGCGAUCUCCAAGUUGGUGAGUCCUUAAGUCCGAGGAUGGUGAUGAUCAAUUCUAGUUUCAUUUUUUCC
rnacentral:lncRNA from 1 species